CAGAAAAGAAAAUAAUCUAUUGAAUGUGAGGCGCUGUAAAGACACUGAUUUGAGUCUGGCAGAAGAAGGUUAUGAACAUAGGAACCUGACAACAGGGCCUGACAACCUGGUGCUGAAGAUACACACAGUAUGUGGGAAGGCACAAAGUUGCAUUUUGCACUCUCUGCCCUGGGAAGCUGCAGGAAUCCUUGAGAUGUGGACAAUCUGUGAAUUCUUCUAUUACUGUUGUCAGAACCAUGAACAGUUUUUGACUCUUCAGUUUUCUCACCCUACAGGUGAGAUAAAAGGCAGGCCUUUUCCCUGUGUCUCCCAAAGCCAUGCAACACAAGAGCUGUGAUGGCAGUUUAUUUUACCUUUAGUCCUUAAUCUGCAUAAA